AUCUUUCGAGGGUCAGCACCUGAGAAGCCUAUCCGAAGGAGUGUUUCAAAAGUUAACAGGCCUACAACAUUUAGCGUUAUUCAACAAUGAACUCAGUGCUUUACCAGAGGAAUUGUUCCCAAACCAACCAGCAUUUACAAAGCUAUGGCUAUCGAAUAAUCAACUUAGCCGAAUACCCGCUGGGAUAUUUCGAUCAACACCCAAUUUAAAAGUUUUG